GGGAGGGUCAUGGGUGGAGAAGAGGGGGAGAGGGUAGGAUUGGGAGGGGAGGAGGGAGGGAGCUUCAGGUGGGAUACAAAGUGAAUAAACUGUAAUUAAUAAAAAGAAUAUAUAUAUAUAUAUAUAAAGUUGAGGCUAAAGGCAGGCUGCCAGGCUUUUGAUGUCAGGUGUCCAGGGCUUGUCUCCAGUGAAUAGAGAAGAGACUAAGAACCAGGAACUCAGGAGCCUGGCGGCUUCAGGGACCUCAGCCGCGAAUCCUUGCAUUUUGCCUGCUGUGCACCCCACCUCCCUCCCCAUGCCUUUGAGGCUGCCUCGGUGUUCUGCGAAGAGCUCUGGGCAAGGUGAAGACGCAGGACCAGCAAACGAGGACCCCCGCCCCCUUCCCCGAGGCUGCUUUGGUUGGUGUUCUCUGUACAGCGGGGAUCGCGCUGUUUCUGGGGACCGCCCGCUGUGGAGAAGUCAGGGGUGGCCGAGAGUGAUGCUGGUGGCCGUCCCUCCUCCUGAGACCCUCUCCAGGAGCCCC
rnacentral:lncRNA from 1 species